rnacentral:rRNA from 1 species
GACGAACGCUGGCGGCGUGCUUAACACAUGCAAGUCGAACGGAAAGGCCCUGCUUUUGUGGGGUGCUCGAGUGGCGAACGGGUGAGUAACACGUGAGUAACCUGCCCUUGACUUUGGGAUAACUUCAGGAAACUGGGGCUAAUACCGGAUAGGAGCUCCUGCUGCAUGGUGGGGGUUGGAACGUUUCGGCGGUUGGGGAUGGACUCGCGGCUUAUCAGCUUGUUGGUGGGGUAGUGGCUUACCAAGGCUUUGACGGGUAGCCGGCCUGAGAGGGUGACCGGCCACAUUGGGACUGAGAUACGGCCCAGACGCCUACGGGAGGCAGCAGUGGGGAAUAUUGCACAAUGGGCGGAAGCCUGAUGCAGCAACGCCGCGUGCGGGAUGACGGCCUUCGGGUUGUAAACCGCUUUCGCCUGUGACGAAGCGUGAGUGACGGUAAUGGGUAAAGAAGCACCGGCUAACUACGUG